GAUGAACGCUGGCGGCGUGCCUAAUACAUGCAAGUCGAGCGAACAGACGAGGAGCUUGCUCCUCUGACGUUAGCGGCGGACGGGUGAGUAGCACGUGGAUAACCUACCUAUAAGACUGGGAUAACUUCGGGAAACCGGAGCUAAUACCGGAUAAUAUAUUGAACCGCAUGGUUCAAUAGUGAAAGACGGUUUUGCUGUCACUUAUAGAUGGAUCCGCGCCGCAUUAGCUAGUUGGUAAGGUAACGGCUUACCAAGGCAACGAUGCGUAGCCGACCUGAGAAGGUGAUCGGCCACACUGGAACUGAGACACGGUCCAGACGCCUACGGGAGGCAGCAGUAGGGAAUCUUCCGCAAUGGGCGAAAGCCUGACGGAGCAACGCCGCGUGAGUGAUGAAGGUCUUCGGAUCGUAAAACUCUGUUAUUAGGGAAGAACAAAUGUGUAAGUAACUAUGCACGUCUUGACGGUACCUAAUCAGAAAGCCACGGCUAACUACGUG
rnacentral:rRNA from 1 species